rnacentral:rRNA from 1 species
GACGAACGCUGGCGGCGUGCUUAACACAUGCAAGUCGAACGGAAAGGCCCUGCUUUUGUGGGGUGCUCGAGUGGCGAACGGGUGAGUAACACGUGAGUAACCUGCCCUUGACUUUGGGAUAACUUCAGGAAACUGGGGCUAAUACCGGAUAGGAGCUCCUGCUGCAUGGUGGGGGUUGGAAAGUUUCGGCGGUUGGGGAUGGACUCGCGGCUUAUCAGCUUGUUGGUGGGGUAGUGGCUUACCAAGGCUUUGACGGGUAGCCGGCCUGAGAGGGUGACCGGCCACAUUGGGACUGAGAUACGGCCCAGACUCGUACGGGAGGCAGCAGUGGGAAAUAUUGCACAAUGGGCGGGAGCCUGAUGCAGCAACGCCGCGUGCGGGAUGACGGCCUUCGGGUUGUAAACCGCUUUCGCCUGUGACGAAGCGUGAGUGACGGUAAUGGGUAAAGAAGCACCGGCUAACUACGUG